UCCCGGUUAACCCGGGCAGUCUCAUUAGAGUCCCCACCUCGCGUGUUGGCAACUAAUGAUAAGGGUUGCGCUCGUUGCGGGACUUAACCCAACACCUCACGGCACGAGCUGACGACAGCCAUGCAGCACCUGUACGAAGGUCCUUGCGGAACAUCCUAUUUCUAGAACUGUCCUCCGUAUUUCAAAUCUGGGUAAGGUUCUUCGCGUUGCAUCGAAUUAAACCACAUGCUCCACUGCUUGUGCGGGCCCCCGUCAAUUCUUUUGAGUUUCACCCUUGCGAGCGUACUCCUCAGGCGGUAUACUUAACGCGUUAGCUCCGACACAGCCGGGGUUGAGCCCAGCUACAUCAAGUAUACAUCGUUUACGGCAUGGACUAC
rnacentral:misc_RNA from 1 species